CCUACGGGAGGCAGCAGUGGGGAAUAUUGGGCAAUGGAGGAAACUCUGACCCAGCAACGCCGCGUGAAUGAUGAAGGUCUUCGGAUCGUAAAGCUCUGUUCUAAGGGAAGAAGAAAGUGACGGUACCUUAGCAUUAAGUCUAGGCUAAUUACGUGCCAGCAGCCGGGGUAAUACGUAGGAGGCGAGCGUUAUCCGGAAUGACUGGGCGGAAAGGGUGCGUAGGUGGUUUGGCAAGUUAGUAGCGAAACUCCAAGGCUCAACCUUGGAACUGCUACUGAAACUGUUGAACUUGAGUGCAGGAGAGGAGAGUGGAAUUCCUAGUGUAGCGGUGGAACGCGUAGAUAUAAGGAGGAACACCAGUGGCGAAGGCGGGUCGCUAGACUGUAACUGACGCUGAGGCACGAAAGCGUGGGGAGCAAACAGGAUUAGAUACCCGAGUAGUC
rnacentral:rRNA from 1 species